UACGUAGGGGGCUAGCGUUGCUCGGAAUCACUGGGCGUAAAGCGCACGUAGGCGGGUCGUUAAGUCAGGGGUGAAAUCCUGGAGCUCAACUCCAGAACUGCCCUUGAUACUGGCGAUCUCGAGUUCGGGAGAGGUGAGUGGAACUGCGAGUGUAGAGGUGAAAUUCGUAGAUAUUCGCAAGAACACCAGUGGCGAAGGCGGCUCACUGGUCCGGUACUGACGCUGAGGUGCGAAAGCGUGGGGAGCAAACAGG
rnacentral:rRNA from 1 species